UUGCCACCAUCAUUUCAUGAAAGGAAAGCUUUCUUCCUUUUACAAUUUGGUCAUUCCUACCAUUUUUAACCAAAACAAGCUUAAAUCCUUCCAAAAUUUCCAUAGAUUUUUUUACUGAAAUUGAUAGAAAAAUCUUAUAACAAGCUUGGUUUCUUGAAAAGAGAGAUUAUGAUUAUCUUGGAGGAGAGAGAAAAGUGAAGUCAGAGUUUAAAGUAAGGAAGUAAGGUAAAAAUGGUGAGAUUUUGUCAUGGUUUCCUUACUAGUUUCAUUCAAAGUGUAUGAAAAUAAUAUUUAAUCCAUGUCUUAACAUUAGAACUUGUGUGUAUGUGGUAUGUUAAUAAAGUGAAAGAGAAGAGAAGUGAUUGUCAAGGGGUUGAUGAAGGAAAGAGGUAGCAAAGGAGUGAGAAAAGGAAGAAGAAAGUAAAUCCAAGCAUUUAAGUGUAAGUACUUCAAGAAUUUUGUCUUACCCAAUUAAAUCUUAGGAAAUAUUCAAGUUGUUAGAAUAAUAUUUGUAUGACUAAAUUAUUAAUAAUAUGAUAAUAUUUAUUAUGAAAUUGAAUAAGAAGUAUUAUUGAUAUGAAAAGAAUUUCAAUGAUAAAGUGAAGUGGGGUUUUGGUAAAAAAGUACUAAAUUGCAAAGUAUACAAAAGAAUUUAUAUGUGAAAUAAAUAAUAUUUUAGUGGACUUAAAUGAAGUAUUAUAUGGUAGUGAGUUAAAUUCAAAGUGAUAUUGAAGUAGAAUCUAUAGUGGUUAUUGAUUUUUUUAUUUUGCUAAGAACGAAAUUGUGAAGUAUUCAAAAGUGACUGUGUACUAAAAUAUUGAAAUAAAAUUUUUAAGUAAGGCUAUAUAUGGAAGUAAAAUAAAUUUUGAAGUUGUAAGAUAGUUAUUAUUGAAAUAUAGGUAAGCAUGGACUAAAUUGAAAAGAUUAUAAAAAUAAGUGUAGCAAAUUUAAUGUAAUGAGGACUAAUUUGAAAUGUAUGUAAAAAUUAGAAUUAUGAAAUAAAAUACUUUAAUAAAGAGUUUGUAACAGCCCAUUUUCAGUGGUGUCAGAAACUGUGGUUUUGUGACCACAAUUCCGACGAGUGAGUAAACAUUUUAAUGUUUAUUUAUUGUUUAUAGGGUUAUACUAAAUUUUUGUUAAGAAAAUUUAAAGUUUAAAUAGUUAAUUAGGUACAAAAGUUAAAUUCUACUAAUUAAAUGAAUCGAAUGGCCUUAGAAAUGCACGUUGUUAAAUCUAUAAGGUAAUUAUGCCAUUUAUAUUGGUGGUGGACAAUGAUGGACAUAGGUUGGUUAUUUUAUAAGUGUUAAUUAAAUGGUAAAGUAGUAAAACAAUAAAUAAAAGCAUGUACAAGUAAAGUAAUGCUAUCAUCUUUUUCCAUUUUCUUGUGUUUGCUGAAAAUCACCAUUGUUGAGCUUGAGAAAAUUCAGCCAAGUUUCCUUUGGUGCAUGGUGAGAUUUUUGAACCCCGUUUUUAAUCACAUAUGUAAAGUAAUGUGAGUAAAUGUAACUCAUUUCAUGUUGUAUCCUAUGUUUCAUAGAUGAUGAAUUGUUAAGUUAUUUACUACUGAUGUGAAUUGUGGUGUUUAGAAAAGUCAAGUACUAUUUGAUUUAAUGAGCAUGAUUGAAUGAUUAAAUAUUAAGGAACGGUAAGUUUAAGUUUCUCUUAUACAAACUUACUAAGCAUUAAAUGCUUACGUAGUUGUUUUCCUCUAUUUUAUAGAUCAUCAGAAAGCUCAAUCGGUUGGAAUCUUGUCAGAGCCUAUCACAUUAUCCGCCAAUCAUUUUGGUAGUUUUUUAACGUUCUGGUUACGGUUAUAAAUGACAUGUAUAAGGCUCAUAUGUAAUAGGUGUAUUUGUAUAUGCUUGGAUACUUAUUACAAAUAUUAUGUAUUAAGCUUGGUAUAAGCUUACUUGUAUAUGUGCAUUUAAUCUUGGUGUGAAUAUGUUUAUAUAAAGUUGUU
rnacentral:lncRNA from 1 species